GAUGAACGCUGGCGGCGUGCCUAAUACAUGCAAGUCGAGCGAACGGACGAGAAGCUUGCUUCUCUGAUGUUAGCGGCGGACGGGUGAGUAACACGUGGAUAACCUACCUAUAAGACUGGGAUAACUUCGGGAAACCGUAGCUAAUACCGGAUAAUAUUUUGAACCGCAUGGUUCAAAAGUGAAAGACGGUCUUGCUGUCACUUAUAGAUGGAUCCGCGCUGCAUUAGCUAGUUGGUAAGGUAACGGCUUACCAAGGCAACGAUGCAUAGCCGACCUGAGAGGGUGAGCGGCCACACUGGAACUGAGACGCGGUCCAGACUCCUACGGGAGGCAGCAGUAGGGAAUCUUACGCAAUGGGCGAAAGCCUGACGGAGCAACGCCGCGUGAGUGAUGAAGGUCUUCGGAUCGUAAAACUCUGUUAUUAGGGAAGAACAGAUGUGUAAGUAACUGUGCACAUCUUGACGGUACCUAAUCAGAAAGCCACGGCUAACUACGUG
rnacentral:rRNA from 1 species